rnacentral:rRNA from 1 species
AUUGAACGCUGGCGGCAGGCCUAACACAUGCAAGUCGAGCGGGGUUUUCGGACCUAGCGGCGGACGGGUGAGUAAUGCGUAGGAAGCUGCCCGAUAGAGGGGGAUACCAGUUGGAAACGACUGUUAAUACCGCAUAAUGUCUACGGACCAAAGUGUGGGACCUUCGGGCCACAUGCUAUCGGAUGCGCCUACGUGGGAUUAGCUAGUUGGUGAGGUAAUGGCUCACCAAGGCGACGAUUUAUAGUUUGUUUGAGAGGAUGAUCAGCCACACUGGAACUGAGACACGGUCCAGACUCCUACGGGAGGCAGCAGUGGGGAAUAUUGGACAAUGGGCGCAAGCCUGAUCCAGCCAUGCCGCGUGUGUGAAGAAGGCCUUCGGGUUGUAAAGCACUUUCAGCGAGGAGGAAGGGGUGUGUGUUAAUAGUACACACCUUUGACGUUACUCGCAGAAGAAGCACCGGCUAACUCUGUGCCAGCCGCCGCGGUAACAC